rnacentral:lncRNA from 1 species
AGCCUCAGGGAGCUCUAGUGGAGAGACAAGAUUCGUGCAUGAAAUAAUUACGACUGUUGUAGAAAAAAGAAAAGCCUGUAGGUCUCCCUUCCUCCCUCCUUCUCUCUGUCUACCUCAGCAUUUCUGGGGUUCACUCUGCUCUGGGUACUGUGUAAAGGACUCCACAGCCAUCAACUUCCCUUCAUCCUUGCCGUGUCUUUGAAAGGGUCUCACUCUGUUGCUCAGGCUGGAGUGCAGUGGCGUCAUCACAGCUCACUGCAGCCUCCACCUUGAUUAAGCAAACCUCCCAUCUCAGCCUUGCAAAUCACAGAGCUGAGAUUUCUUUACAUCACAGUGGUUCAAGGAGAAAAACACAGCCAGAUCCUUCCUCAUCUCAACAUAAAUUAAACCCAGAGGCAGUCAGCGCCACAGUCCACACUCGUAACCGUUACACUCACCUGGAAAUAAAAGUAUUUUUGUGCGGGGACUGCAAGGACUAAGCCCGGCCGCACUCCGAGUUUCUCCUCCUCACAGUGACUCAUUGCUCAGGUGAGGAAACUGAGGCUCAGAGAGGGUCCGUGGCAUGUCCAAGGUUACUCUGCUGUUAAUUGUUUUCUUGGCACUCUCUCCCUUCUCACCUGUGACUACCUGAGUGUCCCCAGAGGCAAGGAACUAUGUGAGCCACUCCAGUGUUCCCAGCCCCAAGGCCAGGCACAGUGGACAUUUAUUGCUGAAUGAAUGAAUCAAGAGAGAGGAUCAGAAAGCUGCAGAGGAUGAUAGAUCUGCAAAAUUCUCCCUGGGUGAGGCCCAGGCUCAGCUUCCAGAACAGCUCCAUCUGUCUCCCACUCACUGAGAUUGAACUAAUGUCCCACAGUUGGACAGACCUGAAAUUGAGCUCUGUGAUUUUGGAUACCUGCCCCUCUGCUGGAGAUUCUGCAUGUCUGAGGUACCAGCCAUUGCCAGAAACUGGGCUAUGUUCUCUCCUUUCAUUGUGCCAUUUCAUUCUCACCCCAAAAUGAAAACACACAAAAAAAUCACUUUCUUCCC